UACGGAGGGUGCAAACGUUGUCCGGAAUUACUGGGCGUAAAGCGCAUGUAGGUGGUUAUAUCAGUCGAUGAUCAAAGACUGUCGCUUAACGACAGGACCGUUAUCGAUACUGUAUAGCUUGAGGAAUGCAGGGGUAAGCGGAACUUUCGGUGUAGGAGUGAAAUCCGUAGAUAUCGAAAGGAACACCAAUGGCGAAGGCAGCUUACUGGGCAUUUUCUGACACUAAGAUGCGAAAGCGUGGGGAGCAAACGGG
rnacentral:rRNA from 1 species